AACGAACGCUGGCGGCAUGCCUAACACAUGCAAGUCGAACGAGACCUUCGGGUCUAGUGGCGCACGGGUGCGUAACGCGUGGGAACCUGCCCUUAGGUUCGGAAUAACUCCCCGAAAGGGGUGCUAAUACCGGAUAAUGUCUUCGGACCAAAGAUUUAUCGCCUUUGGAUGGGCCCGCGUUGGAUUAGCUAGUUGGUAGGGUAAAAGCCUACCAAGGCGACGAUCCAUAGCUGGUCUGAGAGGAUGAUCAGCCACACUGGGACUGAGACACGGCCCAGACUCCUACGGGAGGCAGCAGUGGGGAAUAUUGGACAAUGGGCGAAAGCCUGAUCCAGCAAGGCCGCGUGAGUGAUGAAGGCCUUAGGGUUGGAAAGCUCUUUUACCCGGGAUGAUAAUGACAGUACCGGGAGAAUAAGCUCCGGCUAACUCCGUG
rnacentral:rRNA from 1 species